UACGGGGGAUGCAAGCGUUAUCCGGAUUUAUUGGGUUUAAAGGGUGCGUAGGCUGUGAGGUAAGUCAGCGGUGAAAUGCCCCCGCUCAACGGGGUGAAGUGCCAUUGAUACUGCCUUGCUGGAAUGCGGAUGCCGUGGGAGGAAUGUGUGGUGUAGCGGUGAAAUGCAUAGAUAUCACACAGAACACCGAUUGCGAAGGCAGCCUUCCGGCGCCCUACUGACGCUGAGGCACGAAAGUGCGGGGAUCGAACAGG
rnacentral:rRNA from 1 species